rnacentral:rRNA from 1 species
AGUGAACGCUGGCGGUAGGCCUAACACAUGCAAGUCGAACGGCAGCACAGUAAGAGCUUGCUCUUACGGGUGGCGAGUGGCGGACGGGUGAGGCAUACAUCGGAAUCUACUUUUUCGUGGGGGAUAACGUAGGGAAACUUACGCUAAUACCGCAUACGACCUACGGGUGAAAGCAGGGGAUCUUCGGACCUUGCGCGAGUGAAUGAGCCGAUGUCGGAUUCGCUAGUUGGCGGGGUAAAGGCCCACCAAGGCGACGAUCCGUAGCUGGUCUGAGAGGAUGAUCAGCCACACUGGAACUGAGACACGGUCCAGACUCCUACGGGAGGCAGCAGUGGGGAAUAUUGGACAAUGGGCGCAAGCCUGAUCCAGCCAUACCGCGUGGGUGAAGAAGGCCUUCGGGUUGUAAAGCCCUUUUGUUGGGAAAGAAAAGCAGCAGGUUAAUACCCCGCUGUUCUGACGGUACCCAAAGAAUAAGCACCGGCUAACUUCGUG